AACGAACGCUGGCGGCGCGCCUAAUACAUGCAAGUCGAGCGAGAAGGUGUAGCAAUACACUUGUAAAGCGGCGAACGGGUGAGGAAUACAUGGGUAAUCUACCAUCGAGUGGGGAAUAACCAACCGAAAGGUUGGCUAAUACCGCGUACGCCUCCGAGUCUUCGGGUUCGGAGGGAAAGCUGCACUGUGAGUGUAGCGCUCUUUGAUGAGCUCAUGUCCUAUCAGCUUGUUGGUAGGGUAACGGCCUACCAAGGCUUUGACGGGUAGCUGGUCUGAGAGGACGAUCAGCCACACUGGCACUGCGACACGGGCCAGACUCCUACGGGAGGCAGCAGUAAGGAAUAUUGCGCAAUGGGCGAAAGCCUGACGCAGCGACGCCGCGUGGGGGGAUGAAGGUCUUCGGGAUUGUAAACCCCUUUCGGGAGGGAAGAUGGAGCGAGCAAUCGUUCGGACGGUACCUCCAGAAGCAGCCACGGCCAACUUCGUGCCAGCAGCCG
rnacentral:rRNA from 1 species